rnacentral:ribozyme from 1 species
CGUGGUUAGGGCCACGUUAAAUAGUUGCUUAAGCCCUAAGCGUUGAUAAAUAUCAGGUGCAA